UUCAAUCUAAGCUUCUGUAAUCAGUUCUUGGAUUACAGUCUUGAAGCUAAGAUCUACUCCUCUGUUUUGUUGGUUAUAUCUCUGUUAACAGUUGUCAAUCCAAAAUCUAAUUUCUCAAUGGCCUAAGGUGUAUUGGGUUUUGUUGUUGUUGCUUGUAGGUUGACGAUCCAUAACAACCUCUUCCUCCAUAUCUCACACCACCAAAUCCCUGUUGAAAACCAGAUCGUCCGCAUCCUGAACAAACCUUUAAAAAAUUUGUACUUCUAUAUCUAGAGGAAUGAGCAUCAAACGUCGAUGAGGAACAUGCAAAUAUUGAAGAUGCCUCUGCUAGCCUCCUUAGCUUCAGCCGAUGGUAGACAUCGUCAAAAGAGAGCUUCUGUUAUAACCUCUUCUAGGAUCGUAAAGGACCGAUCGUUAUUGCUUGAACAUCUCCUUUACCAUCCUUUCUAUCUCAUUUUUAUGAAAAUACAGGUACCAGUAAGGGUGCACGUUGAUGAGUUUUGUAUUUGGUAACAAAUUAUUAUGAUGAUCUAUUGCUCGUUGAGGAGGUAAUAUUUUUGGUUUUUCAAAUAUGGUCCCAAAUUUGUUACAAAUUCGAUCCAACUCGUCACACUCAUAUUCAGUAUGUAGAUCUUGAUCUUCUCUCGCCUAAGGUGGCAAAAAUAAGCAAUUUCCUGUUUUGAAAUGAGUUUCUCUAAUCCACCAUUAGAUAUCCAUGAUUUUGAAAGAUGUGGGGCGCCUUGAAACCUUCUUCCUGUCUUGUUCAAAUUCUAUACACAAUCUUUUAUGAUCGGUAGUUAUAUAUUGUCCCAUGUUUCUCCUAUCAUUGGAUUACGAGCACAAUAUUUUCUCCUUCCAUGGGUAAAAUGUAUAAGUACUCCAUAAUUACAGACUGAUGUAAUUCAAUUUUCACCCCUUUACAUAAUUCUUUGCAAACUAAAUAUCCCCUACUUCAAAUAUAAACUCUAAAUUCUGCCACCUUCUAAAUGCCCAUAC
rnacentral:lncRNA from 1 species